rnacentral:rRNA from 1 species
GGCUCAGGAUGAACGCUAGCUACAGGCUUAACACAUGCAAGUCGAGGGGCAGCAUGAAAGGAACUUCGGUUCUUUUUGAUGGCGACCGGCGCACGGGUGCGUAACGCGUAUCGAACCUGCCUCAUACUCGGGGAUAGCCUUGCGAAAGUAAGAUUAAUACCCGGCGGUCUCGGAUGGCCGCAUGACUAUCCGAGUGAAGAUUUAUCGGUAUGAGAUGGCGAUGCGUCCCAUUAGCUAGUUGGUGAGGUAAUGGCUCACCAAGGCAUCGAUGGGUAGGGGUUCUGAGAGGAAGGUCCCCCACAUUGGAACUGAGACACGGUCCAAACUCCUACGGGAGGCAGCAGUGAGGAAUAUUGGUCAAUGGACGAGAGUCUGAACCAGCCAAGUAGCGUGCAGGAUGACGGCCCUAUGGGUUGUAAACUGCUUUUAUAAGGGAAUAAAGUGAGUCUCGUGAGACUUUUUGCAUGUACCUUAUGAAUAAGGACCGGCUAAUUCCGUGCCAGCAGCCGCGGUAAUACGGAAGGUCCGGGCGUUAUCCGGAUUUAUUGGGUUUAAAGGGAGCGUAGGCCGGAGAUUAAGCGUGUUGUGAAAUGUAGACGCUCAACGUCUGCACUGCAGCGCGAACUGGUUUCCUUGAGUACGCACAAAGUAGGCGGAAUUCGUGGUGUAGCGGUGAAAUGCUUAGAUAUCACGAAGAACUCCGAUUGCGAAGGCAGCUCACUGGAGCGCAACUGACGCUGAAGCUCGAAAGUGCGGGUAUCGAACAGGAUUAGAUACCCUGGUAGUCCGCACGGUAAACGAUGGAUGCCCGCUGUUGGUCUGAAUAGGUCAGCGGCCAAGCGAAAGCAUUAAGCAUCCCACCUGGGGAGUACGCCGGCAACGGUGAAACUCAAAGGAAUUGACGGGGGCCCGCACAAGCGGAGGAACAUGUGGUUUAA